rnacentral:rRNA from 1 species
AUGAACGCUGGCGGCGUGCCUAAUACAUGCAAGUCGCGCGAACAGAUAAGGAGCUUGCUCCUUUGACGUUAGCGGCGGACGGGUGAGUAACACGUGGGUAACCUACCUAUAAGACUGGAAUAACUCCGGGAAACCGGGGCUAAUGCCGGAUAACAUUUAGAACCGCAUGGUUCUAAAGUGAAAGAUGGUUCUGCUAUCACUUAUAGAUGGACCCGCGCCGUAUUAGCUAGUUGGUAAGGUAACGGCUUACCAAGGCAACGAUACGUAGCCGACCUGAGAGGGUGAUCGGCCACACUGGAACUGAGACACGGUCCAGACUCCUACGGGAGGCAGCAGUAGGGAAUCUUCCGCAAUGGGCGAAAGCCUGACGGAGCAACGCCGCGUGAGUGAUGAAGGUCUUCGGAUCGUAAAACUCUGUUAUUAGGGAAGAACAAAUGUGUAAGUAACUGUGCACGUCUUGACGGUACCUAAUCAGAAAGCCACGGCUAACUACGUG